AAACCUGUUAAAGCAAAUGAGCCGACAAAAAGCAUCACGUGUGUAUUUAAGUACUUGGAAAAAAUAAAACUGUUACUUUUGGCUUAAUUUGGAUUCCUUUCUUUGGACCUCAUGUGGAAAGCAAAAAAAGCUGCAUAUAUUCAAAUCUGAAGUCAAAAUGCUAGUAGACAUUGUUACAACAGGCACAAAAUAUGCUACAUUUUCUCAAACGUCAGAAUCUGUAUAAUUCAGAUAAUGGUGUCACUAAGACAAAGUUAAAU